rnacentral:rRNA from 1 species
AUUGAACGCUGGCGGCAGGCCUAACACAUGCAAGUCGAACGAGUGGCGGACGGGUGAGUAAUGUCUGGGAAACUGCCUGAUGGAGGGGGAUAACUACUGGAAACGGUAGCUAAUACCGCAUACCAUCGGAUGUGCCCAGAUGGGAUUAGCUAGUAGGUGGGGUAAAGGCUCACCUAGGCGACGAUCCCUAGCUGGUCUGAGGGGAUGACCAGCAACACUGGAACUGGGACACGGUCCAUACUCCUAGGUGGGGCGGCAGUUGAGAAUAUUGCACAAUGGGAGAAAGCCUGAUGCAGCCGUGCCGCAUGUAUUAAGAAGGCCUUCGGGUUGUAAAGUACUUGCAGCGGGGAGGCGUUACCCGCAGAAGAAGCACCGGCUAACUCCGUGCCAGCAGCCGCGGUAAUUC